AUUUGACGCUAUUGCGCUGCCGAUUUUUUCUGGGAGCUACACAACAGAGUAUCAUCAAACCUANCUCUAUAACAAUUUAUUGUAAUAGGCACUUGAAGUUGGCUUNGUUUAAGGCACUCCUUCUAAAUUAAUUCAAUGCAAGAGCAUGUUUACAUUGUAAUUUUCAUAGUAAAUAUGAGUUUGUAUAGAACAGUUGGCAUUCAGUUGUUAGCUAAGAUUCAUAUUUGAUCUCUGGCUGUGUAGGAAUACCCGCUGAAAUUUAAGCAUAUUAAUAAGCGGAGGAAAAGAAACUAACAAGGAUUCUCUUAGUAAGGGCGACUGAAGCGAGAAUAGCUCAAGAUGUUAAUUGAUGUGUCAUGCAUCGAAUUGUGGUCUUUUGAUAUUUGUGUUAAAGUGUGGAUGAAGUCUUCUGGAAAGGAGCGGCAAAGAGGGUGACACCCCCGUGAAUCUACGCUGUAUAACCUUUAUCAUUGAGUCGAGUUGCUUGGGAUUGCAGCUCUAAGUGGGUGGUAA
rnacentral:rRNA from 1 species